ACGCUGACGUGAGGGCUGGAGGAGCCAUUUGAGGACAGUUUAACUCCACUCUCCAUGAUAGCCACUGUGAUUUGCCUGUGCUGAAUUACUGUGUUUGAUUACUAUACUCUGGGUUGAUAUAAACCUUUUACAACGCUUCACUUAUUUUCCUCCUAAUAACCACGGCAAAACGCCACGACCUGAGACACUUCGGCACCGACCCAAGAGGCGAGCAGGCAAGUUUCUUCUGGCCUCCAAGCAGCACUUCGCCGCCCGCCCAGCCUGCCGAGCCUCACAAUGAUUUCCCUGAGCACCGUUUGCAGCAAUCACGCAACAUAAGUCCAAUUCAUAUGAAGCGAGAUGAAUUUACUCCAGAUAAUUAAUGCAAGAAACGAGAGAGGAACUUGGCCCCAGGGAACCCCCGUGGACCAUCUAAGAGUCAUUGUGUGCAACCAUUAAAGUGAAUUAUGGCCCGUGUUGGGUGGCACUUUACUCCCCAAUGCAUCAUACCCGGGAAAGAGGAAGAGGAGGAGGGGAAGGAGGAGGAGAAGUUAAGGGUUCCAGCUCAUCAAGAUAUAAUACUGCUUUCCGUGGACUAAGAAAAUACAUCAUCCUCACGAACUCCGCCCUCUGGUUAAUACUAUGUGCAUUGGAGUUUUGACAUCGCCCUGUGUCUGUGAGGCAAGGCGGGGCUGUGAAGUGCGCAUAUCUAACCCAAUGUAUGGUAAGGUACACUACAUUCAGGCUCAUCUCGGUAAAUAGCAUGUGUAUUCAGUAGUUAUUUAUUCAUCAGUCUAUACUACUCUCUCUCUCUCUCUCUCUCUCUCUCUCUCUCUCUCUCUCUCUCUCUCUCUCUCUCUCUCAUUAUGCUAUCUAGUAU